rnacentral:rRNA from 1 species
CCUACGGGAGGCAGCAGUGAGGAAUAUUGGUCAAUGGACGAGAGUCUGAACCAGCCAAGUAGCGUGAAGGAUGACUGCCCUAUGGGUUGUAAACUUCUUUUAUAUGGGAAUAAAAUGUUCCACGUGUGGGAUUUUGUAUGUACCAUAUGAAUAAGGAUCGGCUAACUCCGUGCCAGCAGCCGCGGUAAUACGGAGGAUCCGAGCGUUAUCCGGAUUUAUUGGGUUUAACGGGAGCGUAGGUGGAUUGUUAAGUCAGUUGUGAAAGUUUGCGGCUCAACCGUAAAAUUGCAGUUGAAACUGGCAGUCUUGAGUACAGUAGAGGUGGGCGGAAUUCGUGGUGGAGCGGUGAAAUGCUUAGAUAUCACGAAGAACUCCGAUUGCGAAGGCAGUUCACUGGACUGCAACUGACACUGAGGCUCGAAAGUGUGGGUAUCAAACAGGAUUAGAUACCCCUGUAGUC